CAACUCGCCUGCAUGAAGUCGGAAUUGCUAGUAAUCGCGGAUCAGCAUGCCGCGGUGAAUACGUUCUCGGGCCUUGUACACACCGCCCGUCACACCAUGGGAGUCGGUAACACCCGAAGUCUGUAGCCUGACGCAAGAGGGCGCAGCCGAAGGGUGGGAUUGAUGACUGGGGUGAAGUCGUAACAAGGUAUC
rnacentral:rRNA from 1 species